UGGUAUGUGUGGGGCUCCAGCCACUUAGCUGGAAUUCACCAUAAACUGCAUCUCCAGCAUCAAGUUUAGCCUCCCCAGUCCAUUGUGACAUCCAGCGAAGUGGAGCCGGGCGCCCCCAGCAUCCCGUCUGUCUCAUGCUAAAUGGUGAGGAUCUCCAACCCGCUUAGUUCCAAGCUCAACCUUUUGCAAAAGCUCAACCUUCUGCACCAAUGGGGAUAUCGUGCUGCUUAGAGAUGGGGUUUCGUCAUGUUGUCCAGGCUGAUGUAGAAUUCCUGGGCUCAAGCAGUCCACCUGCUUUGGCCUCCCAAAGCGCUGGGAUUACAGACUUGAGCCACCAUGCCCUGCUGGUUUAAUGUUAUAUUCAAAUUUCUCCAACUGAAGGGCAUGUACUGUUGAGCAUGCUCAGAAGCCAAGGUUCAAGCCAUUCUUCAACUAUAGAUGCUUCAACUCAUCUCUCUUCCUUCGAAAUAUUCUCUCCCUUAUUAAUUUCACCAAUUAUACCAAGUAACCCCCUGAUUAUUCCCCUAGAACAGACAGAGUUGCUACUAAUCUGUGCCUUAUGUGAUUUAGAAAAAGACUCUUGGAAUGCAGCCCCACACCAUGAUGUACAGAGCAUGAGUUGGGUAUCAGCCCCAUUUUAUUCUCUAAUUCAGGUGCCCUUGUGCAGUGAAUAACAUGGCAGCUGUGAGACUAGUGAUGCUAAACAGAUUAAUUUUUUGGUGCAAAUUCUAAUGAAUUAAUAAUAGCUGUUUUAAAAAAACACACAGUGCUAAGAAAGACUCUGAGGCUGUUUUCAGGCUCAGUAGAUAAAGUGUACUAUAAGCUGUGAUGAUUUGCCUUGGUUGGGAGAAUGGCACUAGGUGUGACAAGAAUUUGCUAUCUAAGUACUAGAGGCAUCUCGCCCAUCCUGAAGAGGUAGGAAGCCUGUAGUAGGCAGAGGUUGAGGUAGAAUGUGGGCCCAGACAAGUUAUAUAAUUUAUAGAACACAACUUUCAAAUGCCCUUGUAAUACAAGGCAACAAUCCUACUUUUCCAGGUCUCUAACAAAAAGCAUCUAGCUGAGCUAGAGUGUUUUCAUGAGGCGUCUGCUACACAAAACAAUAUCUUGCUUAAUAAAUAACACCCGUUUCUACUUGGUGUCAUUUUACUGUUUAAUCAAAACUUAUUUUCACCACUCUUAACCACAGUCUGAAGGAGGAUGCUUCAAUCUCUUCCUGAUUUAACCUUAAACUUGGUCAUGUGUACCAUAUGACUAGGAUUGCCAGAGUCAGCCACUCUCCCAACAAAGGAUGCUCAGUUAAAUAUUGCACAGAACACACUUAUACUAAAAAUUGUUUGUUUUUCUGAAAUUCAAAUUUAAUGGGGCAUAAUGUAUUUUACUGGGCAAUCCUACCUAUGAUGGACAUAUAUAUUUUUCCCCAGCUUUAUUAAGGUAUAAUUGACAAAUAAAAGUGUAAAUAUUUAUGAUAUAAAUGGACAUAUAUACAGAUGCUCCUCGACUUUUGAGGGGGUUACAUCCUGAUAAACCUGUCAUAAGUUAAAAAUACUGUGAGUUGAAAAUUCAUUUAACACACCUAACUUACUGAAUAUCCUAGCUUGGCCUAGCCAACCUUAAAUGUGCCCAGAACACCUAUAUCAGCAUAUAGUUGGGCUGAUGUAACACAAGCCCUAUUUUAUCAUAAACGGUUUAAUAUCUCAUGUAAUUUAUUGAAUAUUGUACUGAAAAUGAAAGAUAAAAUGGUUGUAUGGGUACUC